rnacentral:rRNA from 1 species
GAUGAACGCUGGCGGCGUGCUUAACACAUGCAAGUCGAACGGAAAGGCCCAAGCUUGCUUGGGUACUCGAGUGGCGAACGGGUGAGUAACACAUGGGUGAUCUGCCCUGCACUUCGGGAUAAGCCUGGGAAACUGGGUCUAAUACCGGAUAGGACGAUGGUUUGGAUGCCAUUGUGGAAAGUUUUUUCGGUGUGGGAUGAGCUCGCGGCCUAUCAGCUUGUUGGUGGGGUAAUGGCCUACCAAGGCGUCGACGGGUAGCCGGCCUGAGAGGGUGUACGGCCACAUUGGGACUGAGAUACGGCCCAGACUCCUACGGGAGGCAGCAGUGGGGAAUAUUGCACAAUGGGCGCAAGCCUGAUGCAGCGACGCCGCGUGGGGGAUGACGGCCUUCGGGUUGUAAACUCCUUUCGCUAGGGACGAAGCGUUUUUGUGACGGUACCUGGAGAAGAAGCACCGGCUAACUACGUG